CUGAUCCAGGUAAGCUGACUCUGCCCCUUUCCUCAUGGGGGCUUGGACUGCAAUGGCUGCAAACAGCAGCCUCUUGGAUAAUGUAUGCAGUCUGUCGUUUGUAUCAGUUGACGUAAGGGACCUUGGAGACAGUC
rfam:Tupaia chinensis contig23833, whole genome shotgun sequence.